GGUCGUGUGGACACCAACAACUGCCCACUCACACUGCUCGGAGAAGCCUUCUGUGGCAGUUUGGACGAAGUGAUUAUCACACGAGGAUGCACCGACUCACACGCCAUCUCCUGAUCACAUGUGUCCUUCACCUUGUCAAUGUCAGCCAAGGUCAGCCAAGGGUAGCCAAGGUCACCCUGGUGGCAGGUGCCAAGGUCAUUGGGAUGUUCAGCUUUUACCCAGCAUUCAAUUUAUGUCUUCACAAAAACUUUUUUUAACAUUUUGUUUUGCAUUGAGCCGUUGAACUUUGAUGUUAUGUUAUGCUUAUUCGCUUCCCUUAUGGAAAAUAAAUAAAUGUUCAGUAAGUAUUA